CCUACGGGAGGCUGCAGUGAGGAAUAUUGGUCAAUGGGCGCGAGCCUGAACCAGCCAAGUCGCGUGAGGGAAGACGGUCCUAUGGAUUGUAAACCUCUUUUGUCGGGGAGCAAAAGACGCCACGCGUGGCGUUCCGAGUGUACCCUAAGUAAAAGCAUAGGCUAACUCCGUGCCAGCAGCCGCGGUAAUACGGGGUAUGCGAGCGUUAUCCGGAUUUAUUGGGUUUAAGGGGUGCGCAGGCGGAAGGUCAAGUCAGCGGUAAAAUUGAGAGGCUCAACCUCUUCGAGCCGUUGAAACUGGUGGUCUUGAGUGAGCGAGAAGUAUGCGGAAUGCGUGGUGUAGCGGUGAAAUGCAUAGAUAUCACGCAGAACUCCGAUUGCGAAGGCAGCAUACCGGCGCGCAACUGACGCUCAUGCACGAAAGUGUGGGUGUCGAACAGGAUUAGAUACCCCUGUAGUC
rnacentral:rRNA from 1 species